GGGCAGACACACUGAAGUCGCUAGACAUUUGAGGAACACAUCCGGGGAAGAAGACACAGGUGGCUGGUCAUGGAGAGCCCGCUGGGGGAAGAGCACACAGACAGGCACCGGCAGGCCAUUGACCAGCGGGACAAGGUGGGCUCAAUGUCAUCACAAGGGUGCUUAAGAGGGAAAGAGGAAGCCAUGAGGGUCAGAGUCAAAGGAAGACUUGAAGAUACUACACUGCGGACUUUAAAGAUGAAGGAAGGGGCGAAAACCAAGAAUGUGGGAAGCCUCUAGAAGCUAGAGAAGGCAAGGAAACAAAUUUUCCACUAGAGCCUCCAGAAGGAACACAGCCCUGCUGACCCACUGUAAUGUCUGACCUCUAGAUGUGUAAGGGUAGUAAGACUGAAAGUCUCAGAAAGGCACUGUUAAAUUCUUAUUCCUCAACUAUGCAACUCAAAACUGGGGUCCUCAGCAGUGAGCGAGGGGUGAGAGAAGACACUGUAUAAACAUGGCACAUCCUCCUGGAAAGUCAACUUUACUCAAAGGUUCUUACACACAGUGACAGCUAGCAGAGUCUAAAAUGCUGACAUUAUGACUUAGAGAUGUGAUAAAGAGAAACAUCUAUUGCAUUUUCUGUGUGCUUCCUGAGGUUGACUUCAGAUCGAUGUGGAUGUACACUUGGACCAAGUUCUACAUUAGGAACACUUUAAGUGAUUGAUCUAGAGGUGCCCCUGCUGUGAAAAUGGAAAGAAAUGUAAUGUUUUGGUCAUGGGAGAGCUGCCAAUUCCACAGUACCAGCACAGGCCCUGGAGCCAGACUGUCUGGGGUUUGAAAUCAGCUCCUCCACCUACCAGCUAUUGACCUCAGUUUUGCAAGAUGUUAUCACCAGAGGAAGCUGCAUUAAAAGUACCCUUCUCUAUGGUAUGUCUUACAACUGCAGAUGAAUCUACGGUUCCCUCAAAACAAAAAGGUUGGGAACAUGACCUAAUGGUGUGCUACCAUGCAGCUCUUUCCAGCUCCAUGUUCAGUGACUUCAUAUUGGGUGUUGUCUAUUUGCCCUCCACUUGUAUACAGGCUGGCCUUUGUGACUUGCUUUGUACAGCUGAUGUGACAUCUUGAGACAUCUGAGGUCAAGGCCUUAAGAAGACUGGUCGUUUUUUCUGGAUGCUAAGAGAAGAAAGUGAUUCAAGGAGGAGGGUGUAAUCAACUUCAUCAAGUGCUGCUGACAAGUCAAGUAGGAUGAGGACCAGGAAGUGGUCAUUGGAAAUACCAGUGUGGAUGUCAUUUGCGAUUUGGUAGAUAGUAAUCCGAGUGGAGCAUUUGGAGCAAAAUCCUGGUUUAAGUAGAUUUAAGAAGAAAUUGGAAGAAAGAAAUUGGAGACAAUGAGUACAAAUAACUCUUUCUUCUCUUGCUAGAAAUCCAAGAGCAACAGAGCAAUGACUGAAGGAAGGUGCUGAUAAAUCACAAGAGCAUUUUUUUUCAAGGUGGUAGAAAUAACAUCAGCUUAUCUAAAUGCUGUAAUACACUUCUGAACCUUAACCUAUAAUUUAAAGACAGUACAGACUUGUUGCAAAAACACGAUUUCUAAAAGCAAGGUUAAUCCUUACCACAUAAUAUCUUGGCAAAAAUUAUCUUCCUUGUGUUUCAAUUUCAUCAUUUGUAAUAUGAAUUAAAAUAACCACUUUACAGAGGAGUUGGCCUGGUAAAAUUUUUUUAUUUAAGGUUCUAAGUUUGAUAGUUCUCAUUGUUCCAUAUUCUUUCAUUUGCAACUUGGUAGAAAAUAUCAAAAUUGAUUCCAAGCAAUAAUGAUUUUGAUAAAUGUAUUAGGCCAUUCUUGCAUUGCUGUAAAGAAAAUACCUGAGACUGGAUAAUUUAUGAAAAGAGAGGUUUAAUUGGCUCAUGGUUCUGCAGGCUGUCCAGGAAGCAUAGCAGCAUCUGGUUUUGGGGAGGCCUCAAGAAGCUUCCAAUCAUGGCAGAAGGCAAAGGAGGAGCAGGCACAUCACAUGGCAAAAGCAGGAGCAAGAGAGAAAGAGGAUGGGGGAGGAUUACCACACAUUUAAAUGACCAGAUCUUGUGAGAACUCAUUCAGUAUCACAAAGGCAGCACUAUGCCAUGAGGGAUCCAUCCCCAUGACCCACAUACCUCCCCACCAGUCCCCACCUCCAUCACCUCCACCAUCAGGGCUUAGGAUUCAACAUGAGAUUUUGGCAGGGACAUAUAUCCAAACUAUGUCAAUAAAUACAAUUUUUUUCACAGAAAAUAGUAAGGUAUAAAAUUUAAAAAUAAAUCUUUAGUCUUGUAACUUUCCAAAACAUUGGAGGGAUGUAUAAGUUAAAAAGUGAAAGAGGGUGUAUGUGUAGGAGAUUAAAACAUUAUAAACAAAAAUUUGUAAGUGUUUGUUGCCUAUUAUAUUCCAGCCAGAUAUUUUGUUGACAAAUUCAUGUUAAGUUGACCCUAUUGUGUCAUUAGAAUUUAUGAAAAAUAUGUUACCACAUUUCAUCAUGGCCAGACCAUAUGUUGGGAAGAGUGACUAGUGGUAAUUUACAGAGAAAAGACAAAGAACUGUGGCAUCAGAAUCCCUUCACCUUCGCAGCUGAGACUAUAUGCCCUAGGAAUUACAUAUGUUUAUGCUGUUGCUAUUUUGCUUAAGAUCAUCUCUGAAAACUAGUUUAGAAAAGCAAAUCUCUGUUGCUCUUAUGACAAAAAUGUAGAUGUGAAGUGUAAUGCAGGAAUGGAUAAAUGAGUAGAAUAUUUUGGACUUAAAAGGCUCAAAUGAUUGGAGUAAAUAUUUAUAAUCAUUUUGAUGCAGUCUUUACAAUCAUGCCCUUUAUGGCAUAAUAUUUGGUUGUAUUUUGUAUACAAUUUCAGGUUCAUUUCAUGUUGGCACCUAUUUUCUGGGUUCUCAAGGGUACAACAUGUGUUUUAGCCAGGUGCCAGUAAUAUUUUUAUAUGGUCUCUUUCUCGGUACUUGUAGGAAAAUUAUUCUUGUAAUUGGAAGGCAGAAAUAGUCUGUAGUCCAAUUAUAUGUGCAUAAUUGUUUGUGUUCACUAUAACCAAUGUUUGAUUGUCAGUAGUAUAGAGGGCAAUGUCUUGGUUUCUUCCUAUUUUAAUAAUUAAUUACAUUUCCUUCUAUGAAAGGGAGGUGGGAAUAAAGCUUCAUGUUUUUGUCAG
rnacentral:lncRNA from 1 species